UACGGAGGGGGCGAGCGUUAUUCGGAAUUAUUGGGCGUAAAGGGCGCGUAGGCGGCUUGAUAAGUCAAAGGUGAAAUCCCUCGGCUCAACUGAGGAACUGCCUUUGAAACUGUGGAGCUUGAGGCCGGGAGGGGGUAGCGGAAUUCCCAGUGUAGCGGUGAAAUGCGUAGAUAUUGGGAGGAACACCAGUGGCGAAGGCGGCUACCUGGACCGGAACUGACGCUGAUGCGCGAAAGCGUGGGUAGCAAACGGG
rnacentral:rRNA from 1 species